rnacentral:rRNA from 1 species
UAAUACAUGCAAGUCGAGCGGACAGAUGGGAGCUUGCUCCCUGAUGUUAGCGGCGGACGGGUGAGUAACACGUGGGUAACCUGCCUGUAAGACUGGGAUAACUCCGGGAAACCGGGGCUAAUACCGGAUGGUUGUUUGAACCGCAUGGUUCAGACAUAAAAGGUGGCUUCGGCUACCACUUACAGAUGGACCCGCGGCGCAUUAGCUAGUUGGUGAGGUAACGGCUCACCAAGGCGACGAUGCGUAGCCGACCUGAGAGGGUGAUCGGCCACACUGGGACUGAGACACGGCCCAGACUCCUACGGGAGGCAGCAGUAGGGAAUCUUCCGCAAUGGACGAAAGUCUGACGGAGCAACGCCGCGUGAGUGAUGAAGGUUUUCGGAUCGUAAAGCUCUGUUGUUAGGGAAGAACAAGUGCCGUUCAAAUAGGGCGGCACCUUGACGGUACCUAACCAGAAAGCCACGGCUAACUACGUGCCAGCAGCCGCGGUAAUACGUAGGUGGCAAGCGUUGUCCGGAAUUAUUGGGCGUAAAGGGCUCGCAGGCGGUUUCUUAAGUCUGAUGUGAAAGCCCCCGGCUCAACCGGGGAGGGUCAUUGGAAACUGGGGAACUUGAGUGCAGAAGAGGAGAGUGGAAUUCCACGUGUAGCGGUGAAAUGCGUAGAGAUGUGGAGGAACACCAGUGGCGAAGGCGACUCUCUGGUCUGUAACUGACGCUGAGGAGCGAAAGCGUGGGGAGCGAACAGGAUUAGAUACCCUGGUAGUCCACGCCGUAAACGAUGAGUGCUAAGUGUUAGGGGGUUUCCGCCCCUUAGUGCUGCAGCUAACGCAUUAAGCACUCCGCCUGGGGAGUACGGUCGCAAGACUGAAACUCAAAGGAAUUGACGGGGGCCCGCACAAGCGGUGGAGCAUGUGGUUUAAUUCGAAGCAACGCGAAGAACCUUACCAGGUCUUGACAUCCUCUGACAAUCCUAGAGAUAGGACGUCCCCUUCGGGGGCAGAGUGACAGGUGGUGCAUGGUUGUCGUCAGCUCGUGUCGUGAGAUGUUGGGUUAAGUCCCGCAACGAGCGCAACCCUUGAUCUUAGUUGCCAGCAUUCAGUUGGGCACUCUAAGGUGACUGCCGGUGACAAACCGGAGGAAGGUGGGGAUGACGUCAAAUCAUCAUGCCCCUUAUGACCUGGGCUACACACGUGCUACAAUGGACAGAACAAAGGGCAGCGAAACCGCGAGGUUAAGCCAAUCCCACAAAUCUGUUCUCAGUUCGGAUCGCAGUCUGCAACUCGACUGCGUGAAGCUGGAAUCGCUAGUAAUCGCGGAUCAGCAUG